GUACAUGUAUUAAGUGGAAACUCACCAAGUACGAUACGUGGAUGGUGACAUGUUUAGGGUAGGGGUAGGAAGCACAAAGUAGGUUGAGACAUCAACAUCAAUUUUUUUUUUUUAAUUUUUCCUUAUUUAUGAAGUUUUCUAAAAGUUAAAUAAAUACUUAAUUUUAUAUAUUUUUUUUUAUUUUAUAACCUUUUUCAAUCACAUAUACUUUUAUAGCUCAAAUAGAAUAUUUAACAUAGUUGUAUCUUUA
rnacentral:lncRNA from 1 species